rnacentral:rRNA from 1 species
GACGAACGCUGGCGGCGUGCCUAAUACAUGCAAGUUGAGCGCUGAAGGUUGGUACUUGUACCAACUGGAUGAGCAGCGCACGGGUGAGUAACGCGUGGGGAAUCUGCCUUUGAGCGGGGGACAACAUUUGGAAACGAAUGCUAAUACCGCAUAAAAACUUUAAACACAAGUUUUAAGUUUGAAAGAUGCAAUUGCAUCACUCAAAGAUGAUCCCGCGUUGUAUUAGCUAGUUGGUGAGGUAAAGGCUCACCAAGGCGAUGAUACAUAGCCGACCUGAGAGGGUGAGCGGCCACAUUGGGACUGAGACACGGCCCAAACUCCUACGGGAGGCAGCAGGAGGGAAGCUUCGGCAAGAGACGAAAGUCUGACCGAGCAACGCCGCGUGAGGGAAGAAGGUUGUCGGAUCGUAAAACUCGGUUGGUAGAGAAGAAAGUUGGUGAGAGUGGAAAGCUCAUCAAGUGACGGUAACUACCCAGAAAGGGACGGCUAACUACGUG